GACGAACGCUGGCGGCGUGCUUAACACAUGCAAGUCGAACGGAGUUUAAAUCAGUAGUUUACUACAGAUUUAAACUUAGUGGCGGACGGGUGAGUAACACGUGGGCAACCUGCCCUAAAGAGGGGGAUAACACCGAGAAAUCGGUGCUAAUACCGCAUGACAUUAGAGCUUCGCAUGGAGCUUUAAUCAAAGGAGCAAUCCGCUUUAGGAUGGGCCCGCGUCUGAUUAGCUAGUUGGUGAGGUAGAGGCUCACCAAGGCGACGAUCGGUAGCCGAUCUGAGAGGAUGACCGGCCACACUGGAACUGAGACACGGUCCAGACUCCUACGGGAGGCAGCAGUGGGGAAUAUUGCACAAUGGGGGAAACCCUGAUGCAGCAACGCCGCGUGGAGGAAGAAGGUUUUCGGAUUGUAAACUCCUGUCUUUUGGGACGAUAAUGACGGUACCAAAAGAGGAAGCCACGGCUAACUACGUGCCAGCAGCCGCGGUAAGAGUCACGUCG
rnacentral:rRNA from 1 species